rnacentral:rRNA from 1 species
AUGGCUGUCGUCAGCUCGUGCCGUGAGGUGUUGGGUUAAGUCCCGCAACGAGCGCAACCCUGUUAUCAGUUGCCAUCGGGUAGAGCCGGGGACUCUGAUAAGACUGCCUGCGCAAGCAGAGAGGAAGGAGGGACGACGUCAAGUCAUCAUGGCCCUUACGCCCAGGGCGACACACGUGCUACAAUGGCGCAUACAGCGGGUAGCUACCUGGCAACAGGAUGCCAACCUCUAAAAGUGCGUCUCAGUUCGGAUUGGGGUCUGCAACCCGACCCCAUGAAGCUGGAAUCGCUAGUAAUCGCGCAUCAGCCAUGGCGCGGUGAAUACGUUCCCGGACCUU